rnacentral:rRNA from 1 species
GGGUCAGUAGGUUGGUCGUGCCUCCGGUACGUACUGGUCUCACUGAUUCCUCCUUCCUGAAGAACCGUAAUGCCAUUAAUUUGGUGUUGCGGGGAAACAGGACUGUUACUUUGAAAAAAUUAGAGUGUUUAAAGCAAGCUAACGCUUGAAUACAUUAGCAUUGAAUAAUGAAAUAGGACGAUCGAUCCUAUUUUGUUGGUUUCUAGGAUUGACGUA